rnacentral:rRNA from 1 species
AUUGAACGCUGGCGGCAGGCCUAACACAUGCAAGUCGAGCGGAUGAAGGGAGCUUGCUCCUGGAUUCAGCGGCGGACGGGUGAGUAAUGCCUAGGAAUCUGCCUGGUAGUGGGGGAUAACGUCCGGACACGGGCGCUAAUACCGCAUACGUCCUGAGGGAGAAAGUGGGGGAUCUUCGGACCUCACGCUAUCAGAUGAGCCUAGGCCGGAUUAGCUAGUUGGUGGGGUAAAGGCUUACCAAGGCGACGAUCCGUAACUGGUCUGAGAGGAUGAUCAGUCACACUGGAACUGAGACACGGUCCAGACUCCUACGGGAGGCAGCAGUGGGGAAUAUUGGACAAUGGGCGAAAGCCUGAUCCAGCCAUGCCGCGUGUGUGAAGAAGGUCUUCGGAUUGUAAAGCUCUGUAAGUUGGGAGGAACGGCAGUAAGUUAAUACAUUGCUGUUUUGACGUUACCAACAGAAUAAGCACCGGCUAACUUCGUG